AUUCCGUACUGUAAUCCGCAACAGGUGGUCUAUUUUUGAAGAAUAUGGUUUGACAGGAAAACGUUUCAAAGGGAAGUCGGCAAACUGGAUUCCUACGUUCGCAAGAAGAAUUGUCUCGUUGGGUGAGAGGAA
rnacentral:rRNA from 1 species